GGUCCCAAGGGUUGGGCUGUUCGCCCAUUAAAGCGGUACGCGAGCUGGGUUUAGAACGUCGUGAGACAGUUCGGUCCCUAUCCGCUGCGCGCGUUGGAAACUUGAGAAGGGCUGUCCCUAGUACGAGAGGACCGGGACGGACGAACCUCUGGUGUGCCAGUUGUUCCGCCAGGAGCACGGCUGGUUGGCUACGUACGGGAGGGAUAACCGCUGAAAGCAUCUAAGCGGGAAGCCUGCUUCAAGAUGAGAUUUCCAUGAGGUGCCCUACAGACUAUAGGGUUGAUAGGCCAGAUGUGGAAGCACAGUAAUGUGUGUAGCUGA
rnacentral:rRNA from 11 species